CAUAAGGAGCUUCUUUUUGUUGCUGUGGUGCGUGCCACUCCCAAGUCUGAACUCUCCAGUCGCUACUCCAGGAACACGAAAGAAAAGGUGUACUUUUACCCACGAGGAGAAAUGACUCCUAUUGCUUGCUUGGUUCUAAGGAUGGGGGAGCAUGGUGGAACUCAUGAACCUACUAUUGUAGAAAUUAAAUUAAAUUGACACCCAAGCUGCUCAAUGGGAAGAAUUACCAGAAUUGUCAGUGCAGAAAAGCGUUCAGCGUUUAAUAGAAAAUAAGAAGUC